UACGGAGGGUGCGAGCGUUGUCCGGAAUCAUUGGGCGUAAAGGGCGCGUAGGCGGUGCGGUAAGUCACCUGUGAAAUCUCCUGGCUCAACUGGGAGCUUGCAGGCGAAACUGCCGUGCUGGAGUGUGGGAGAGGUGCGUGGAAUUCCUGGUGUAGCGGUGAAAUGCGUAGAUAUCAGGAGGAACACCUGUGGCGAAAGCGGCGCACUGGACCACAACUGACGCUGAGGCGCGAAAGCUAGGGGAGCAAACAGG
rnacentral:rRNA from 1 species